rnacentral:rRNA from 1 species
GUUAUCCGGAUUCAUUGGGUUUAAAGGGUGCGCAGGCGGAUUGGUAAGUCAGGGGUGAAAUCCCACAGCUCAACUGUGGAACUGCCUUUGAUACUGUCAGUCUAGAGUAUAGUUGAAGUUGGCGGAAUGUGUCAUGUAGCGGUGAAAUGCUUAGAUAUGACACAGAACACCGAUCGCGAAGGCAGCUAGCUAAGCUAUAACUGACGCUCAUGCACGAAAGCGUGGGGAUCAAACAGGAUUAGAUACCCUGGUAGUCCACGCUGUAAACGAUGAUUACUCGAUGUUGGCGAUACACAGUCAGCGUCUGAGCGAAAGCAAUAAGUAAUCCACCUGGGGAGUACGAUCGCAAGAUUGAAACUCAAAGGAAUUGACGGGGGCCCGCACAAGCGGAGGAGCAUGUGGUUUAAUUCGAUGAUACGCGAGGAACCUUACCUGGGCUCGAACGUAAGAUGACUGUAGGUGAAAGCUUACAUCUCUUCGGAGCAUUUUACGAGGUGCUGCAUGGUUGUCGUCAGCUCGUGCCGUGAGGUGUCGGGUUAAGUCCCAUAACGAGCGCAACCCCUACCUUUAGUUGCCAUCAGGUCAUGCUGGGGACUCUAAAGGAACUGCCUACGCAAGUAGUGAGGAAGGCGGGGAUGACGUCAAAUCAGCACGGCCCUUACGUCCAGGGCUACACACGUGCUACAAUGGCCGAUACAGAGGGCAGCUACCUGGUGACAGGAUGCAAAUCUCCAAAGUCGGUCUCAGUUCGGAUCGGAGUCUGCAACCCGACUCCGUGAAGUUGGAUUCGCUAGUAAUCGCGCAUCAGCCAUGGCGCGGUGAAUACGUUCCCGGGCCUUGUACACACCGCCCGU